rnacentral:rRNA from 1 species
UACGGAGGGGGCUAGCGUUGUUCGGAAUUACUGGGCGUAAAGCGCACGUAGGCGGACCUGAAAGUCAGAGGUGAAAUCCCGGGGCUCAACCCCGGAACGGCCUUUGAAACUCUGGGUCUUGAGGUCGAGAGAGGUGAGUGGAAUUCCGAGUGUAGAGGUGAAAUUCGUAGAUAUUCGGAGGAACACCAGUGGCGAAGGCGGCUCACUGGCUCGAUACUGACGCUGAGGUGCGAAAGAGUGGGGAGCAAACAGG